GACGAACGCUGGCGGCGUGCUUAACACAUGCAAGUCUACGAGAAAGGGGUAACAAUAUCCCGAGUAAAGUGGCGCACGGGUGAGUAACACGUAAGUAAUCUACCUUUAGGUUCGGAAUAACCCAGAGAAUCUGGGCUAAUACCGGAUGAUGCAGCGGAUCCACAUGGAUAUGUUGUUAAAGUCUAUACGACGCCUAAAGAUGAGCUUGCGGCCGAUUAGCUAGUUGGUAGGGUAACGGCCUACCAAGGCAACGAUCGGUAGUUGGUCUGAGAGGAUGAUCAGCCGGACUGGGACUGUGACACGGCCCAGACUCCUACGGGAGCAGCAUG
rnacentral:rRNA from 1 species